rnacentral:rRNA from 1 species
AUUGAACGCUGGCGGCAUGCUUUACACAUGCAAGUCGAACGGUAACAGGGAGCUUGCUCCGCUGACGAGUGGCGAACGGGUGAGUAAUGCGUCGGAACGUGCCGAGUAGUGGGGGAUAACGCAGCGAAAGUUGUGCUAAUACCGCAUACGUACUGAGGUAGAAAGUGGGGGACCUUCGGGCCUCACGCUAUUCGAGCGGCCGACGUCUGAUUAGCUAGUAGGUGAGGUAAAGGCUCACCUAGGCGACGAUCAGUAGCGGGUCUGAGAGGAUGGUCGGACACACUGGGACUGAGACACGGCCCAGACUCCUACGGGAGGCAGCAGUGGGGAAUUUUGGACAAUGGGCGAAAGCCUGAUCCAGCCAUGCCGCGUGUCUGAAGAAGGCCUUCGGGUUGUAAAGGACUUUUGUCGAGGAGGAAAUCCCCAGCGCUAAUACCGCUGGGGGAUGACAGUACCUGAAGAAUAAGCACCGGCUAACUACGUGCCAGCCGCCGCAGUAAGAC